AUUGAACGCUGGCGGCAGGCCUAACACAUGCAAGUCGAGCGGUUGACGGGAGCUUGCUCCCUGAUUCAGCGGCGGACGGGUGAGUAAUGCCUAGGAAUCUGCCUAUUAGUGGGGGACGACGUUUCGAAAGGAACGCUAAUACCGCAUACGUCCUACGGGAGAAAGCAGGGGACCUUCGGGCCUUGCGCUAAUAGAUGCACCUAGGUCGGAUUAGCUUGUUGGUGAGGUAAUGGCUCACCAAGGCGACGAUCCGUAACUGGUCUGAGAGGAUGAUCAGUCACACUGGAACUGAGACACGGUCCAGACUCCUACGGGAGGCAGCAGUGGGGAAUAUUGGACAAUGGGCGAAAGCCUGAUCCAGCCAUGCCGCGUGAGUGAAGAAGGUCUUCGGAUUGUAAAGCACUUUAAGUUGGGAGGAAGGGUUGUAGAUUAAUACUCUGCAAUUUUGACGUUACCGACAGAAUAAGCACCGGCUAACUCUGUGCCAGCAGCCGCCGUAACAC
rnacentral:rRNA from 1 species